rnacentral:misc_RNA from 1 species
UUUCCGUAGGUGAACCUGCGGAAGGAUCAUUAUUGAAUGAAACACUUCUGGCUUUAUGUUGUUGUGCUGGCCCUUUGGGCAAUGUGCACACGGCUCUGGUCACUUUUUUCUUCUGUUCCUCCUGUGCACUGCCUGUUGCCACGCUGUCUCUAUGAUAUCUGCUAACACACAACAAUGUUAGUUGGCAUGUUAUAUAUAACAAUAAAAUAUACAACUUUCAACAACGGAUCUCUUGGCUCUC